UACGAAGGGGGCUAGCGUUGCUCGGAAUGACUGGGCGUAAAGGGCGCGUAGGCGGUUCGUACAGUCAGACGUGAAAUUCCCGGGCUCAACCUGGGGGCUGCGUUUGAUACGUACGGGCUUGAGUUCGGAAGAGGGUCGUGGAAUUCCCAGUGUAGAGGUGAAAUUCGUAGAUAUUGGGAAGAACACCGGUGGCGAAGGCGGCUACCUGGACCGGUUCUGACGCUGAGGCGCGAAAGCGUGGGUAGCAAACAGG
rnacentral:rRNA from 1 species